CAGUCGCCGCGGGAAUACGUAGGGUGCAAGCGUUAAUCGGAAUUACUGGGCGUAAAGCGUGCGCAGGCGGUUUGUUAAGACAGAUGUGAAAUCCCCGGGCUCAACCUGGGAACUGCAUUUGUGACUGGCAAGCUAGAGUGUGUCAGAGGAUGGUGGAAUUCCCGGUGUAGCGGUGAAAUGCGUAGAGAUCGGGAGGAACAUCAGUGGCGAAGGCGGCCAUCUGGGACAACACUGACGCUGAGGCACGAAAGCGUGGGGAGCAAACAGGAUUAGAUACCCCUGUAGUCCCUGUCCCUUAUAC
rnacentral:rRNA from 1 species